GAGUUUUAUCGAUGGAUUAAUGGUAAAGAAAAGGAUUUAAAGGGGACGUGCUGUACCUGCACCGUUCUGGAAUUUUCUGAGUUUAACGAUCUCCUUGGUCAGGUUUUUUUUCCUUGUUGUUCUGUCCUUUUCCAAAUUCGAUUACUGUCCUCUGUCUGAUGUGACAAAAUGUUCCGGUACCUGCACUCUGGAUUUGUCCCGGCCUUCCGGUGGUUCUGAGGAGGGUUUGGACUGGCGAGCCUCCCUUGAGUCUGUUCUUGGAUUUUCUGUGGAAACAAAAGACAAGUUUUUCUGAACCCUGCGAA